rnacentral:rRNA from 1 species
UACGUAGGGUGCAAGCGUUAAUCGGAAUUACUGGGCGUAAAGCGUGCGCAGGCGGUUUUGUAAGUCUGUCGUGAAAGCCCCGGGCUCAACCUGGGAAUUGCGAUGGAGACUGCAAGGCUUGAAUCUGGCAGAGGGGGGUAGAAUUCCACGUGUAGCAGUGAAAUGCGUAGAGAUGUGGAGGAAUACCGAUGGCGAAGGCAGCCCCCUGGGAUAACGACUGACGCUCAUGCACGAAAGCGUGGGGAGCAAACAGG